rnacentral:rRNA from 1 species
GAUGAACGCUGGCGGCGUGCCUAAUACAUGCAAGUCGAGCGAACAGACGAGGAGCUUGCUCCUUUGACGUUAGCGGCGGACGGGUGAGUAACACGUGGAUAACCUACCUAUAAGACUGGGAUAACUUCGGGAAACCGGAGCUAAUACCGGAUAACAUGUUGAACCGCAUGGUUCAACAGUGAAAGACGGUUUUGCUUUCACUUAUAGAUGGAUCCGCGCCGCAUUAGCUAGUUGGUAAGGUAACGGCUUACCAAGGCAACGAUGCGUAGCCGACCUGAGAGGGUGCUCGUCCACACUGGAACUGAGACACGGUCCAGACUCCUACGGGAGGCAGCAGUAGGGAAUCUUCCGCAAUGGGCGAAAGCCUGACGGAGCAACGCCGCGUGAGUGAAGAAGGUCUUCGGAUCGUAAAACUCUGUUAUUAGGGAAGAACAAAUGUGUAAGUAACUAUGCACGUCUUGACGGUACCUAAUCAGAAGGCCACGGCUAACUACGUG